UUUUUUGAGAAUGUGAUUUCAAAAUAAGAAAAAUACUCAAUUAAUUCUUAACUAAUUAAUAAUUCUAACAUGCAACAAUAUAUAAUUUAAGAUACCAAAAUUAAGUCUCCAAAAUACACUAAUAUAUUAUUUCACUUGCUUAAAAUUAAGGGAAAUGUGGAGUAGAUAUAAAUGAAGACUGUCCUUUCCUUUUUAAUCCAUUUAAAACUCUACAAAAUAAUAAUAAUAAUAUUAAGAAAAUAAAUUUAUUUUCGGAAAUCACGACUGCUAACGUGGCAAUGGCGGUACUAAUCCAAUUGCUACACCACCUGAG
rnacentral:misc_RNA from 1 species